UUCCGGAACCAGUGAGUGACCUGCAUAUGCGUGAAUUUAUGACCAUUAUGUUUUGUUAAUUCAGCCUUGAAGUACAAGUGAACAGUUAUGAUGAAUUCCUUAUCCUCUUUCUUGAGAGCAACCAGAGUCCUUCUUCCCCCCUUGCUACAAACCAGCAGCAUUAGUAGAAGCUUCUCCACGGUGUACCAGAAAUGUUCUAUCAGUUCCUAUAUAACACAGUUUACCUCCACACAACAUUUAUUAAUGCCAUCCAUCAUUAAACUAGAGCAAACACGAGCAUAUCAACCAAGAGGUGUUCCAAAGUUAAGAUGCAGACAUUGCUAUUUUGUUACCAGACAUGGUCAACUAUUUGUUGAGUGUACAAGUAAAAAAAGACAUAGGCAGUUUCAAAUUGUUGGGAAAAGUCGUCGAUUUAAGGAUGAUCUAACUGAAGGAAAGUAUAAGAAUUUUGUUUACCAGGAUUUUAAACACAGAAGAUUUUAUAGGCUCGGAGAAUCAAUAUGGUCAAAGGAUGAUUUAGUUGGUGACAGAAUGGGAAAGGACUUGUAGAAUUAUAAUAUUAUAAAUUGUAAAAUAAAAGUAAUGAAAAUAG